GACGAACGCUGGCGGCGUGCUUAACACAUGCAAGUCGAGCGGUAAGGCCCUUUCGGGGGUACACGAGCGGCGAACGGGUGAGUAACACGUGGGUGACCUGCCCUCAGCUCUGGGAUAAGCCUGGGAAACCGGGUCUAAUACUGGAUAUGACUCCAUGACGCAUGUUGUGGGGUGGAAAGCCUUGUGCGGCUGAGGAUGGGCCCGCGGCCUAUCAGCUUGUUGGUGGGGUGANGGCCUACCAAGGCGACGACGGGUAGCCGGCCUGAGAGGGCGACCGGCCACACUGGGACUGAGACACGGCCCAGACUCCUACGGGAGGCAGCAGUGGGGAAUCUUGCGCAAUGGGCGAAAGCCUGACGCAGCGACGCCGCGUGAGGGACGACGGCCUGGUGUAAC
rnacentral:rRNA from 1 species